ensembl:snRNA U1 U1 spliceosomal RNA
AUACUCAACAGUGGAGAUACCAUGAUAAGGAAGGUGGUUUUCCCAGGGCGAGGUUCAUCCAUUGCAUUCUGGAUGUGUAUCUGGAAUCCUUGUGAUUUCCCUAAAUGUAGAAAACUGGUCUGCAUAAUUUGUGGUAUUUGGGGGGUGGAAUUUAA